ensembl:miRNA gga-mir-7480-1 gga-mir-7480-1
UUCUGAACGAGACUGAAGGAAGCAGCAAUUGCUCUUCUCUAAAGCGUGGACAGACA